rnacentral:rRNA from 1 species
AGCGGCGGACGGGUGAGUAACACGUGGGUAACCUGCCUGUAAGACUGGGAUAACUCCGGGAAACCGGGGCUAAUACCGGAUGGUUGUCUGAACCGCAUGGUUCAGACAUAAAAGGUGGCUUCGGCUACCACUUACAGAUGGACCCGCGGCGCAUUAGCUAGUUGGUGAGGUAACGGCUCACCAAGGCGACGAUGCGUAGCCGACCUGAGAGGGUGAUCGGCCACACUGGGACUGAGACACGGCCCAGACUCCUACGGGAGGCAGCAGUAGGGAAUCUUCCGCAAUGGACGAAAGUCUGACGGAGCAACGCCGCGUGAGUGAUGAAGGUUUUCGGAUCGUAAAGCUCUGUUGUUAGGGAAGAACAAGUGCCGUUCAAAUAGGGCGGCACCUUGACGGUACCUAACCAGAAAGCCACGGCUAACUACGUGCCAGCAGCCGCGGUAAUACGUAGGUGGCAAGCGUUGUCCGGAAUUAUUGGGCGUAAAGGGCUCGCAGGCGGUUUCUUAAGUCUGAUGUGAAAGCCCCCGGCUCAACCGGGGAGGGUCAUUGG